AAAUACCGAAGCUGCUAGACAGGGGGCCUUACUUUGAGAACCCCUGACUGAUGGCAGAGGACAAUGAACUUAGAGAAGAAACACUGGAGAUAUAAGGAUUGUGUUUUAUGGAUGAUAGCAACGAUCUAGAGAUGGAACACUGAAGACU
rnacentral:lncRNA from 1 species